rnacentral:lncRNA from 1 species
ACAUCUAAAUGACUACGGGCCCGUUUGGCUUAGAUUCUCAAAAAGUGAUUUCUAUAAAAUUAAUUUUGCAUUGGAGAUGUGAUUUAGUUAAAAACUGCAGAAUUAAUGUUUGGCAGAGCUUAGAUAAAAGUGGUUUUUCUAAAGUAAUUUUGUAAAACUGUUUGGUGAAAAAAUUUUGAUGUUUGUAUAUAAUAACAUUUUUUACUAAAUUUUAUUUUAAAAUAAUUUAAAAUUUGAAUUAAAUUUAAAAUUUGUACAAAAUUUAAAAUUUGAUAUUUUAAUUUAAAAAAUAAAUUUGAAAUUUAAAAAUUUAAAAUUUAUAAAUUGAUCUUUUAAAGCUAAAUGCAAAUUUUCAAUUUCAAAUUUAAAAUCUAAAUUAAAGUUUGACGUAUGAAAUUUAAAAUUUAAAAAUUUUAUAUUUUAUACUUUUAUUUUAAAAAAUUUUAAAUUUAAAACUAUAAUAUUUAAAAUUUUUUAAAAAAUAUAAAUUUUAAAAUUAAGAUUUAAAAUUUUAAAAUUUAAAAUUUGAAUUUUAAAAAUUUGAAAUUUGAAAUUAAAAAAAUUAAAACAUAUAAUUUAAAUUUUAAAUUCUAAAAUAUGAAAAUUUAAAUUUUACCUUAAAUUUGAAAUUUGAAAUUUAAAAUUUAAAAUUUUAGAUUUAAAAUUUAAAAUUUAAAAUUUAAAGUAUAAAUUUUAAAUUUUAAAAGUUGAAAUUUACGAAUUCAAAAAUAAAUUUAAAAAUAAAAAUUAAAUUUAAAUUUAAAUUUA